rnacentral:tRNA from 2 species
AAUUAGAAAGCGAAUUUUGCACUUAGUUUCGACCUAACCCUUGGGAGACCCUCUAAUUU